rnacentral:misc_RNA from 1 species
UAUAUAUAUGUUUUGACAAGGACAAGCAUGGCUGCAUUUAGCCAUUUUGUUGAUGUCAUUAAUUAUUCACUGAAGGUAAUGUGGAACUUCUUAUAUUAUUAUUCAUUUUAUACCCUCAACAUUCAUAAAAUUCUAAGUUCUCCAUAGAUUUCCUCCUAUAAUCUAGCAAGAUGCCUAUAGAGCAUUUUGAUACACUAGGAAGGGAAGCCUUCUUCCUCACCAAAAAAGCAAGAUGCCUAGAGCAUUGGGCUACACCAGAAAGGAAGCCCUCUUCCUGUCUUCCAUUCCAAAAAUCCCAACAGUUCAAAAUUGAAACCUCUAAGUUGAAAUCCAAAGUCCUAAAUCCUAAUCACAUGAGGGAUCAUAGUCAUAUGCUUUCUUAAAUCAUAUAUUAUUUAUUUGUUCAAAUGUUGUGUGUGUUUGGUGAACG